GCGGAUGUGGCGGAAUGGCAGACGCGCUAGUCUUAGGAACUAGUGGUAAUACCGUGGGGGUUCGAGUCCCUUCAUCCGCACCA
rnacentral:tRNA from 1 species